rnacentral:rRNA from 1 species
GAUGAACGCUGGCGGCGUGCCUAAUACAUGCAAGUCGAGCGAACAGACGAGGAGCUUGCUCCUCUGACGUUAGCGGCGGACGGGUGAGUAACACGUGGAUAACCUACCUAUAAGACUGGGAUAACUUCGGGAAACCGGAGCUAAUACCGGAUAACAUGUUGAACCGCAUGGUUCAACAGUGAAAGACGGUCUUGCUGUCACUUAUAGAUGGAUCCGCGCCGCAUUAGCUAGUUGGUAAGGUAACGGCUUACCAAGGCAACGAUGCGUAGCCGACCUGAGAGGGUGAUCGGCCAGACUGGAACUGAGACACGGUCCAGACUCCUACGGGAGGCAGCAGUAGGGAAUCUUCCGCGAUGGGCGAAAGCCUGACGGAGCAACGCCGCGUGAGUGAAGAAGGUCUUCGGAUCGUAAAACUCUGUUAUUAGGGAAGAACAAAUGUGUAAGUAACUAUGCACGUCAUGACGGUACCUAAUCAGAAAGCCACGGCUAACUACGUG